AUGACAAACUUUUCUGUUCGCUUUGUUUUUUCUUUAUCAUGUUGUUCACCUUUAACUUUAGCCACUUCGCUACAUUUUUGCUGGUGCACACAGGCCACUGCACCACUGCUAGGUUAAGAAAACACCAGAGGAAGGUAGAAAGUAAGAACA
rnacentral:lncRNA from 1 species